rnacentral:rRNA from 1 species
AUUCAGUCUGGGGCGACGGACGUGCGGGUCGGAAGACCAGGUAGGGCUUCCCCGACUGGGGGCCGUCUGACUGCACGAAGUUCCGUUGCGCCCGACGCAUUUGUCUCCCGUCCGAAGGACGCCGCAGCCGGUUGGGUAGUUGCAAACUCGACGGCCUGAGGGGCGGACGAUGGCAGGUGGCCGGUGGCGUACCUCGGUGCGUCGCCGGUUGUUAGCCGGUCCGUCAGUGGCUCGUCACCCGACCGAGGUGUCACUAGGCCCUUCGGGGCCUCAGCGUCUCCUCCCACGGAAGUCGAGACAGAGUGUCGCAGGUGAACCUCGCCGUCCCGUUCGCACUCCGCAGGAGUGGUCGGGCGAGCGAGAGGCUCCGUUGGCGGCACCGGGCUCGUUGGAGGCAGGAGGCUAGCGGCGAGUAGGUCGGUCACCCACCCGACCCGUCUUGAAACACGGACCAAGGAGUCUAACAUGUGCGCGAGUCAAUGGGUCUUGAAUAGGCCCAGAGGCGCAAUGAAAGCAAAGGUCGGCAGACGUCGACCGAGUUGGGAUCCCCGUUUCGGCGGGGCGCACCAACGACCCGUCCUAUCCGACUCGUCGGUUGGGCGGAGUAUGAGCGUACACGUUGGGACCCGAAAGAUGGUGAACUAUGCCCGGACAGGACGAGGCCAGAGGAAACUCUGGUGGAGGUCCGCAGCGGUUCUGACGUGCAAAU